UUUGAAGCCGGCGCGUUUGAAGCUGCGGCGCGUGUUUGAAGCUGCGGCGUUUGAAGCUGUCGGGCUUGAAGCUGGCGCGUGUGUUUGAAGCUGCGGCAUUUGAUGUUCCUGAGGACGUUUGUAAAUUUGAGACAGACUUUAAUAUUGUUAGACGAUCACUUGGCCUUGGACUCUGCUUUCUUGAAAAUAGCUGACUUGAAGUUAUUUCCCUUCAUCAGCUGAAAAUUUCUGAUUUUGGAAGAACAGAAAUUUGAAGAAAAAGAACAUGAAGUGAUUAAGAGAUUCAGGAUUGCUGAAUAUUAAUGAGCUGG
rnacentral:lncRNA from 1 species